rnacentral:rRNA from 1 species
ACUGGUCACAGAUAAGCCAUGGCACGUCUAAGUACAACUAAAUGGAUGGUGAAACUGCAAAUGGCUCAUUACAACGGUUAUGAUGUACCCGGGAGUUCCGAUGGAUAUUUCCAGUAACACUAGAACUAAUACAUGUCCCUGCGUUUAUUAGUUUCGCACAGUCCGUCGCUGAGUCAUGGUAAACAGUUGAUCGACUCGACGUCCCGGAACAGUUUCCGCCCCAUCAGCUUCGAUGGUUGGGUAUUGGCCUACCAUUGCAACAACGGGUAACGAGGAAUUAGGGUUUGAUUUCGGAGAGGGAGCCUGAGAAACGGCUACCACAUCUACAGAUGGCAUCCGGCUCCCAAAUUACCCAAUGCAGACACUGCGAGGUAGUGACAAGAAGGAAAAAAGCGCGCCAUUUGUCCUGUCCCGACUCCCGGGAGGUACCCCAAGUCCAAUCAGAUUACAAGGCUUAGGGUCUUGUUAUUAGCUAUGUGCCCCAUUUACCCCCCUUAACG